UUGUAAAUGUUCUAGUUCGAAUUCUGC
rnacentral:piRNA from 1 species